GACGAACGCUGGCGGCGUGCCUAAUACAUGCAAGUAGAACGCUGAAGGAGGAGCUUGCUUCUCCGGAUGAGUUGCGAACGGGUGAGUAACGCGUAGGUAACCUGCCUGGUAGCGGGGGAUAACUAUUGGAAACGAUAGCUAAUACCGCAUAAGAGUAGAUGUCGCAUGACAUUUGCUUAAAAGGUGCAACUGCACCACUACCAGAUGGACCUGCGUUGUAUUAGCUAGUUGGUGAGGUAACGGCUCACCAAGGCAACGAUACAUAGCCGACCUGAGAGGGGGAGCGGCCACACUGGGACGGAGACAGGGCCCAGACUGCUACGGGAGGGAGCAGGAGGGAAUCUUGGGGAAUGGACGGAAGUCUGACCGAGCAACGCCGCGGGAGGGAAGAAGGUUGUCGGAUCGUAAAGCUCUGUUGUAAGAGAAGAACGAGUGUGAGAGUGGAAAGUUCACACUGUGACGGUAACUUACCAGAAAGGGACGGCUAACUACGUG
rnacentral:rRNA from 1 species